UAUAUUGUGACAUCUUCCUCUGGAAUUCUGCUUGUAGCCGUAUGGUGAUGGAAAAGCUGAUGAUGUGUUCUCUUAACCUCUGUUUCCUGUGUUCUGAUGGGUUCCUUAGGUAACAAUCUUCUCUGUUAUGCUGUGCUACCAUAGCUUUUUUGGAAGUCUUUGAAGAGCGACUUUGCAAAACGAGCUGUGGAGCUCCAAGUGGACUCAUCACCUGGAUCUUGUCCACUUGCUUCAGAAAACACCGAAGAGGUGUGAAUAGAUUGGCGAGCCAUGCCUUUUCUUACAAAAACUGCACUGCUUUUUAGCCAAGAUAAGAGUCUUAAUAUUUCAUCUGAUCUAUGGGGUACUGACCAGUCUUUCAGACAGGAAACAUGCAUGUGGAGCACAACAUAUUCUUGAAAGUGUACAUGGUCCUGCUGAAUACUGUUGCCUUGCUGUCCCAGAAGGUCCAACACCCUGACGGCUGAUACAGGAGGUGAUUGUGAUUGCGGUCUUGUGCGCUCAUCCCUCAGACCACUGGUUUAAUCUCGGGGUGAUUUACAGCCUGAGUUGGGUUUGCAGAACAUGAACUAGAAGAGCAAAAAAAAGCAGGAAAUAACUCUCUUUGCGUCCCAUCCCUAUUCCUUUGCUGUACACUGAAAUUAACAAUGACUUGUUGUGAGAACUUUGGAAUCAGAUUUGCCUCAGAGGAUCUGGAGGAAUGCUGCUCAUGGUUUUUCUUCCACAGAUGGUAUCCACCCACAGUGAAAGCUGAAAAUACAGCAAACAGUGUUUGCCUCAGAAGAAACAAGACAGAAAAACACGGCCAUCCCAUUCCAUGUUCUGGUCAGCCUCUCCCUUUACAUACAGAGUGAUCAACCUACUAAAGCUAUAUGAACUUAACUUGCGGUGUCAAGAAAUUCCUGUCUUCAAGGCAACAGGUUCAUUUCACAGAUCUUCAUGGAUAGCAUCUUCUAGGCAUGGGAACUACAAAUUUCCCCUUCGUUGUCUGGGGAAUAAACCACUUAAAUCGCUUAUUUAAGAAUUACUUCCAUGUGCCACUGGAAUGCAGCCACUUCUGCAGUAAGACAGACCAGCCACUUACAGUGAUGCCAGGGACAUAACCAUUCCAGAACAGAAACUGAAGAAGUGUGUCUUGGCAAAUUGAACUGACAGGGGAACUGAAACGCUGUGCUGUGGAAGUAAUGUACUGGGAAAACACCACCCAUCUGUAAUCACUUAAUGGAAUUUGUACGCUAAAUAGUCAGGAAGACAUCACAGGGGAUAAAGAGGACUGCUUAAAAUGCUACGUGCCACGGCAUACAGCGCCUGUCUGCCGCAGUGGGUAUUUGUCCCUGAUGCAAUGCAUUCAGAGGUCUCCUUUGAAAUACUACUGAAGAAGGAAAGAGUAGAUCUCCCUGAUGGCUACUUACUCAUCUAGAAAAGUCGUGCAGGAAGAAGUUCAAACUCAGCAGCGUUCCAAAAAGAUGGGCGUAGAUUCCUGACUUCAGACUGUCACAGUGACUGAUUAUAACCUUCUCACUUUGCUCGGCUCUGAGUGAACAACUCUGGCAGAAAAUCACAAGCACUGUUUUGGGGAUGAAGAGGAAAGGACCUUUAACAGUAAGAAACUGAACCAGUUACUGCGUGCUUUAGUGUUAAUGUGAGCCGGUCAAGUAUUUGGAUACUUAGUUUGAUCCACUGUAACUGAACUGUGCUCUGCAAGCAAAGCACAUGGGAUAUGACAAAAGACAGCAAACGCCAACCAAAGAUGCAGUCGCCAUCAGCUAAUAGGAUACAAGAAUUUCAUGUGCCACUGGCUCUGCCUCUGACAAGUCUGUGCCCUCGAGCCCUCUGUCCACAGAGGAUUGAGCCCGGCUUCAGGCUGUGGUGUAUAUGUUUUUGUAAAGUUAGAGAAUUUUACCAUGAGUUACUGCACAAUAAACCUACAUUUGUACUGAAGUGGGGACCCUGUUCCAUUUUUUACAGCUGCAUAUUUAAUAUGUAAAAAAAUAGGAGUUCAUUAACAAUAAAUGUCUAGGAAGUCUUUGGCUUAAAUGCCCAUUUUCAAACAUUUUAUAUGAAAAUACUCAAGUCCUGCAGUGGGUCACUUAUUAAAAAUUUGAUUUGAAGAUCAGCCUACAAGUCAUAAACAGUCUCAUAAAGAUGUAACUAUUGUAAUAACUUUCCUUUUCCCAGUUGGAAAUAUAAGAUGAACUCCUCUGAAGCACCUAAUGUAUGACUAAUGUUUAUUUGUAUUACAAGAAGCUUUACAGCUGCAAUGUUCCAAGAAAGCUUAAAUUCAAUAAACAGCUAUUAUAAUUCAUAGAACGGUGGCAUUUCCUCCGUAAGAAAACAUAACCUAUCCAUUCUGAUUUUUCAGAAUCAAAAAAAAAAAAAAAAAGGGAAACUUUCAGGUAUAUUACCCCAAAGUGAGAUUUAAACAGCUCCUAACUCCUUGGCUAUAUAUAAAGUACAGCCAGACUCUGGUAUUCUAAGUUGAUGCGGCAAUACUCCACAAAAAUUAUUUUGAUGCAUAAUUUUUCCUUAUGUUACAAGUGAUGUUAUUUGGCCUGUUAUACCAUAUUACAACUCAUGCAGCAGAGGAUUUAAUGGGUGUGAUAGUCCCUCUGAGCAGAUCUGAAAUUGGAACAUAUAAACUACAUUAUUUUUCUACUGUAUGACUUCCCCCAAAUGUAUCCACAUAAAUUU